AUGAACGGAGGCAUAAACUGUGGAGGGGGACGCCGCACCCGGCUAACAAUUGUUCGUGUGUGUUCUAGCGGUUCCCCUUUCACACACACACACACACACACACACACACAUAUAUAUAUAUAUAUAUAUAUAUCCCUAAUAAUAAAGCACGGAUUGGGUCUCCGGGUUCACCGUCACAAUACACUUUCUUCUCAUGUCAUAAUACGCUUUUACAAUUUGUAUGGACAAAAUCGUAGUAUAAACGAGGUGGUACUAAUAUAUAUUUUCGUCCGUCCACCUCCCUCUCCAAAUUUUGGUUCGGUUCGUACGUUUUUUGCAGCUUCGAUGGGCCAGAAAAUUUGCUAUGGGCCGGUAAAAAAAAAUUCAACCUCACGACCUGCUCUCCUCUCCUGA
rnacentral:rRNA from 1 species